UAACAUGGACCUUUUUCAAUAAACUGAGCGGCUACUAAUUUAGAUAGAUUAAAAAGGCACAUGUCGACAUAUGCCCUUAUAAAUUGUUGAAACGUGAUGUUCUUAAAACGUAGAAAGGGCCUAAGUCAACAUAUGCCCUUUUAAAUAGGUCAAAACCCUGCUUUGUAAUAGCAGAGUUAGGGCCUAUGUAAAGAAACCUAGCCAGUGAAAGUGCCAGUCAACCGACCGAACUUUGCACUAACCAAUUAAAGCGACAUUAAAAACUGUUUGAAACAUGUGAUCCGGUAUUAUUUCAGUGAUAUCGACACGCUGUAAUUAUUUCGCGCAAUAAUUAAGUUCCAGAAGGCCAUGGAAGAGUCUUAAGCCGCGCGACACGUUAUCAUCCAUUUCAUUUUAUGCACGUAAUUGUUGAGUUGUUGUUUUGUGAUACGUUAUGCGAUUUCUGUUGCAACUUGAAUCUAUUAUUAUACCAACCCGAUUUCUCUGCUUGUUCAGUUUAAAUCGCCAGGUGAACGUGAUUGAACACGUGAGUUUUGUCCGUCGUAUUAUAGCAAUCUGUAAUAAUUGUAAUCCUGUGAUAAGAAUUUUGGCUCUGAUCAAGUAUAACUUAACUGCCUACGCCGGGACAGGGACAGCGAAACGUCAAAGAGGUGCAACUGAAGAUGUGCCCGACAAUUAUUUAUCUAGGUCGUUUUGUUUAAUUUCUAACGUAAAAUAAGAACAUCACAAAAUACAACCUUUUUAAUUGCCUCCCUUAGACCGCAAAACGGAAUACCUAGUCUGAAUCAAUAUAUUGCUAGUAAAUAACCCGUAUUUUGUGUCAUAUUAUAGCGAAAUGUUUAAUCCUUAAUUCCUUUCUGUUGUGAAUUUCUGUUCUGAACCAGAAUAAAUUACCUGUCAUGACAGUGUAUAUACUAAAGCAGUUAUUCAAUCACGUAUCGUGAUACAACUGUCCAGUAUCCGCUCUGAUCCAGAAUAACUUACCUGUCAUGACAGUCUAUAACAGUUAUUCAAUCACGCGCUACGAUUAAAUGAGCUUUCGGUUUCAUUUUGUGCAGGGUAUAAACUUCUGUCUCAACGUAUUAUACUGUUAACUGUUAGCUGUGCUCUCUGUGGGGCAUGAAAUAUCGAUUUUGUUCUAACGCCACUUUACCUUUCGAUGUAGAUUCAAAAGCGGCUGCACAUUGUCACAUUGCUGGUUUAUUGACUAACAUUUCUUAGCUUGGUACUUUCUUUUAGUAUAUUUUCUCAGUAUAAUUUUUGAAAUAACGAGAUGUGUGUUAUAAGGAAAUAAUACAUGCAAUACUAAAUACAUUACCAUCCAUUUAGCUAGAUGACUCAUUCUGUAAAGCUUCGAAAGAGGAAGGGCCGGGGCGGUACGUUAUCAGUAGAGGAUACAAUGUGGUGUCCUGGGUUGCAGGUUCUUGCAAACCCCUUUCAAGACAAGUUAUACUACAAGGCUACCAUUGUAAAAAGAGUGAGGGAAGGCGUCUUCAGUCUACAGUUCGAGUCUGAAAAUAAGUCCCGCAAUGUUUCUGCGAAAUUCAUGAAGCUUCUUAUACUUGGAGUGGGUAAGUGUAAAUUUAAAAUGACACUAAUACAU